CGGGCUCACCUGAGCACAGAGGUUUGGAAAGUUCUCGGUUUUCCGUGAGGAGGAAUAGAAGUGCUAUGGGCAUCCACGCCAGGUCUUGGUGUGGACCGAAAUUCUGAUUACUCGUGGAUAAUUCAGGGCGUGGGCUGCCAGGUCCUCGGGGACUUGAUGGGGUAAGUACUAUUAUUAGACCCAUUUUAUUUAUCAGGAGACUAGCCUGCCACAGGUCUGUCUCUCGCUCACACACACCAGACUGGGCCGCCAUCCCUCGCCUAGUCCCUCUAGGACCCGCGCGGGAGCCCAAGGUCCCCUACCCACAGGCAGCACCAAGGUCGUCCUGGACCCCACCCAGCGCGGCGUCCCGCCCCACAGCCCGGGCACCGACAACCGUCGCCGCAGGGGCCUGGAGACCCAGACGCGCUGCAGACACUGCGAUUUGUUCAUCUUUCCAGCCAACCCGUCUCGUCCUGACGGUAAUUAGCUCCCAGACUGGUGGGGAGACAUGAACAGCCUCCCCGUCAUCGCGACGGCCCCA
rnacentral:lncRNA from 1 species